rnacentral:rRNA from 1 species
UACGAAGGGUGCAAGCGUUACUCGGAAUUACUGGGCGUAAAGCGUGCGUAGGUGGUGAGUUAAGUCUGUCGUGAAAGCCCCGGGCUCAACCUGGGAAUGGCGAUGGAUACUGGCUCGCUAGAGUGCGGUAGAGGGUGGUGGAAUUCCCGGUGUAGUGGUGGAAUGCGUAGAUAUCGGGAGGAACACCAGUGGCGAAGGCGGUUGCCUGGGGCUUUGCUGACGCUGAGGCGCGAAAGCGUGGGGAGCGAUCCGG